UGGUAGAAGAGGGAGGGAUGGUUGUGUGUACACUCUGGUGGCCAUUGCUAGGGCCCCUUGCUUUUGAUCCAAAUUCACAAGAUCCAAGAGUCAAACAAAAUAUAAAUGCAAAGUGGGCGAGAGACGAUUGCUGAUGGCAGCUUUAAAGACAACUAAGUCGUCCACCUUGGUAUGGAAUGGUCCGAAGACCUCCUUGUUCCAGAGUUUACAUCACAAGCAUAAUCCACUGAGCUUCUCAACCGAAUAUAUACAAUUGUUUUAUUGCAUGAUUUUUGAUAUGAGUUUUAUUGCAAUUAGGGAGUUUUACAGAAAUACAAAUGGCAGUGCCAGAUGGGCCCAUAUUAAUCUUGCUUUGAUUAUAUGACACUUAAUAAAUAUACCUGUCAAACCAUACAAGUGUAUUUGAAAGAGAUAUUUUACUAAACCAUGGUCAAAUGUCUUUGAAUAUCAUCUUAAAUUGUAAACAAGUAGUUUUUCCUGAUAUGCAUGGCAGUUAACUACUAAACAUUUAUCCAUAUAACUUUUGUACCACAAUAGCUGCCUGAAAAACCUCUGGUUUGUUCUAGGUUUGUGUGUAGACUACAGCAUUCCAUACAAAAGAAAACAAGUACAAAUGCUCAUAGAUUUGGCACCAAGGACAAAGAUACAUUUCCCACAAUAUCUUCAACAGGGUUUGCUUAAUUUCAGUAAAAUACAGAGCAAGACUAUAAUGUAUCCAACAUGGAAAUAUUGUGACCAGAUUAGGUCGACAUGCUAUCUACAAACCCAUUUUCUCUUGCUAAACAUGAAAAACAUUUGUUAUGACACCGGUUUCUACUAAAAUAUCAAUCAUAUAAAAUAAAUUACAUGUUCAUUAAAAAUGGUGCAGUAUCUAAAGCAGAAAAACCCAUCCUUAUAAAAUAGAAUGUGGUAACAAAAUAUAACUUUCAGCGAAAAGGGAAGUGUUAAGGUUGACCCCCUCAUGAUGUGUGUGUUUUUAUCCCAGUUUGUGUGUGUGUGUGUGUGUGUGUGUGUGUGUGUGUGUGUGUGUGUGUGUGUGUGUGUGUGUGUGUGUGUGUGUGUCUAUGUGUGUGUGUGUGUGUGUGUCUAUGUGUGAGUGUGUGUGUGUGUGUGUGUGUGUGUGUGUGUGUGUGUGUGUGUGUGUGUCAGAAAAUGUGUCACGAAAAUCCUGGGAUCUGCUGAACAAAAAAAUCUGUAAUUUUGGUACCGAAGUCAAACGUAAUCCCUGAAUCCUCCACUUUUAGAGCAUUAAACCAGAAUAAGCUCUAAAUUACAUUUCUUCAAAUGAUGCCCCGGCCUCCAAGAUCCUCAUAAGAGGCCUUUCGUUUGCUAAACAUGUAUUAAAAAAUAAAGAAUAUCUUCCUGGCACCAAUUUACAGUGCAACACUGGUUGAGGUUAAAGUCAAUGCGUUCUCUUGUGGACAAUCGUGGUGUGUAAUUGCAUUAAGUGGACGUCAUCACCAAAGGGAAAUACCAAACGGUCAUGUGAAAUCCAUCUCAAACAAGGUUUGCUCAUAAGCGGAUGCCUUAUCCGAAGCGACUUCAUAAUAAGUGCCAUCCACCCUGAAGAGACAUCAAAAGAAAUGGCAUGAAUCAUGCAAGUACAUAAAAUGAAUCAAAUGCAUAUGGCAGUGGAAACACAGAAUAUAAAUGUAGGUUUCCCUACCCGAAAUGACUCAGAGAUACAUCCAAUGAAAGUACAUUUGGCACAUGAGUGUUUCAAGUCACGACAUGACAGUUUCACAGCAUGACGCAUGAGUUGACACGUAGCCCUGUUAGCUUAGCUUCUGAUCACGUUUACAGACAGCAAGCGUGGGAGCUGCAGAUGCAACUCACUGGUUUUGGCACAGACAGAAUGUGAAUACAAAUACACACGCGCAGACACACACACACACACUCACACACACAGAUGCACACACACACAUACACUGGGUCAGGAUAAUGACAUUCUGCGCUUUCCCUCGUGGUUUACGACAGCUUCGUUCCCUCUCUCGUCUCCCUAGACUUCCCUCACCAUCCCAACUUAUCAACCAACAAUAAAUUACAACCACAUCAAUUUGAACCUUGAUCAAUUGACAUGUGAACUUGUUCCAGAGUGGACUAUUGUGUGUAUUUUUGUCAGAUAUGAUCCAUAGCCACUUGCCAUGGUAGAACUCAUCUUCUAUAUCAAGUGUUCUGCUAGACGACCCCCAUUCUCUCUCUUCUGUCUGUUAAUGACCUCUGCCUCUUAGU
ensembl:lncRNA